ACGCUGGCGGCGUGCCUAAUACAUGCAAGUCGAGCGAAGUUUUUCUGGUGCUUGCACUAGAAAAACUUAGCGGCGAACGGGUGAGUAACACGUAAAGAACCUGCCUCAUAGACUGGGACAACUAUUGGAAACGAUAGCUAAUACCGGAUAACAGCAUUAACUGCAUGGUUGAUGUCUGAAAGUUGGUUUUGCUAACACUAUGAGAUGGCUUUGCGGUGCAUUAGCUAGUUGGUGGGGUAAAGGCCUACCAAGGCGACGAUGCAUAGCCGACCUGAGAGGGUGAUCGGCCACACUGGGACUGAGACACGGCCCAGACUCCUACGGGAGGCAGCAGUAGGGAAUCUUCCGCAAUGGGCGAAAGCCUGACGGAGCAACGCCGCGUGAGUGAAGAAGGAUUUCGGUUCGUAAAGCUCUGUUGUUAGGGAAGAAUGAUUAUGUAGUAACUAUACAUAGUAGAGACGGUACCUAACCAGAAAGCCACGGCUAACUACGUGCCAGCAGCCGCGGUAAUACGUAGGUGGCAAGCGUUGUCCGGAAUUAUUGGGCGUAAAGCGCGCGCAGGUGGUUUAAUAAGUCUGGUGUGAAAGCCCACGGCUCAACCGUGGAGGGUCAUUGGAAACUGUUAAACUUGAGUGCAGGAGAGAAAAGUGGAAUUCCUAGUGUAGCGGUGAAAUGCGUAGAGAUUAGGAGGAACACCAGUGGCGAAGGCGGCUUUUUGGCCUGUAACUGACACUGAGGCGCGAAAGCGUGGGGAGCAAACAGGAUUAGAUACCCUGGUAGUCCACGCCGUAAACGAUGAGUGCUAAGUGUUGGUCUCAUAAGAGAUCAGUGCUGCAGCUAACGCAUUAAGCACUCCGCCUGGGGAGUACGACCGCAAGGUUGAAACUCAAAGGAAUUGACGGGGACCCGC
rnacentral:rRNA from 1 species